rnacentral:lncRNA from 1 species
CAGGGAUCAGUGCAAUCAGAUACAUGCUAGGGAAAGCUGAACUCUGAGGCUCAUGCACAAUUCCCGUUCCCCAGGACCACUUCCCAAAGGGGAUAUUCCACACAUGGUCCUUGUGGAAGAGGAGUAAAGUCCAUUAGUUCUUUUCAACCAAUCCGGUGCAAGGCAGAGCUCGUGGCAACUUCAGAACCAAUGGAGAAGGAAGAAUAUGAAAUCAGAGAAUUCCUGGGUUACCAAGGCAUCUCCUGUGGGAGCUCCCUUACUCUGGAUCUGGGCCUCAUUUAUUGGUAGAAUGACUAAACUGAGAACUUUCAUUCUGCACCCAAUCACAACAGCUUCAUGA